rnacentral:lncRNA from 10 species
UGACCUUGGCUAAGUCACUGGCUUAGAGUUUGCCAUAAUUAGAGCCUGCAUUAGUCAGAGGCAGGCUAACUUUUAAAAGAUAGCUCCUAAUAUCAGUGGCUUAACAUAAUAUACAUUUAUUUCUAAUUCAUGAUCCAAAACAGAUGUUUUUGAUUAAUGCACGUCAUUACUCCAUGCAGUGACUCAGAGAUCCAAAUUCCUUCGAUGCUGAAACUCAGCCCUUCUCUAGUCAAAGGAGUCUUUUCAUUCUGCUGGUGCAUUGAGUAAAAGUGAGGAUUAGCUAUGGGAGGCCUAGACAUGGUGCACAUUCACUUCUGCUCACCUUCCAUUGGCCAGAACUCAGUCAGGCCACAUAUGACUGUAAGGGUGGCUGUGUACCCACGAAGAGGAGGAGAGUGUGGACAUUGGUGGGUGCCAGCUGUCUCUGCCACUGGGCUUCCAGACGGCUUUUAAUCACAAAGAAACAGUAAAAUGUUAGAGACCAAGAGAAAGAGGUUAAAAGGCUUUCAGAUAUCCUUUAUUCCCUAAGCAGAAAGUUAGGUGUUAUCUACAUUGCCUCUGACUGCUGCCAAUACAGGGAGAUUCCUCAACUGUCCAAAAAGCUUGAGGAAUCGCAGCUGGUGGAGUCAGGAGUGGAUAGCAGAGUUUUUCUGGAACCUGAACCCAGAAUACAAUAUGACCAGAAUACUACUCCAAAAUGGAGAUGGGGAGGUCAGGUUCUGACCUCUUUAAAUUUUUGACAUUGGGAGGAAAUGAAAGGCCCACAAUACAACCUGAUCAUAAUCUUCUGUUAUCUUGUGUAGAAUUCUGAUGGACAAGAUUACACCUAUUCUUUCCUAGAAACACAUAAAAGUGUAUAUUUCAAAAUCACCACCACCACCACCAUCAUCAUCAUCAGAUUUACUGAGUGUUUACUAUGUGCCAGGAACUGUUCUAAGAGUUUUAUAUAAUUAUCUCAUUUAGGCUGGGCACAGUGGCUCAUGCCUGUAAUCCCAGCUCUUAGGGAGUCUGAGGUGGGUGGAUCACUUGAGGUCAGGAGUUCGAGACCAGCCUGGCCAGCAUGAUGAAACUUCGUCUCUACUAAAAAUACAAAAAUUAGCUGGCAUGGUGGUGCACAUUUGUAAUCCCAGCUACCCAGGAGGCUGAAGCAGGAGAAUUGCUUGAAUCUGGGAAGCAGAGGUUGCAGUGAGCUAAGAUCACACCACUGCACUCCAGCCUGGGUGACAGAGGGGGACUCCAUCCCCACCCCAAAAAUAAAAAUCUCAUUUACUCCUUGCAACAACUUUAGCAGGCAAGUAUAAUUAUUAUUCCAUUUAAGGAAAUUUGCAACAGGAAGACUCUGCUCUAGGUCCUGCAGCUCCUAACUGGGAGGACAAGCAAGAAAGAUCUUGGUGAUCUUACUUGAGCCCAAUAGUGUCAUGAGUGCCAUGGGUGCCUCGGGCCCAGUGCUGGAGGUUCCCCUUAGGGUCUUUUUUAUGGCCUUUUAAACUCUGUGUGUCACUCAUGUAACAAAUCUACACACAUACCCCUGAAUCUGAAAUAAAACCUAAAAUUGUUAAGAAAUUAAAAUAAUAAAAGUAUUCAGAUAGAAAAGACAAAUUACUUACAAAGAAUAACAGGUGGGUUGACAAUAGCAAUAGCAAUAAGAGUUGCAUAUUGUAGCAAUAAGAAUAGUAAUCAGAAUCCAGAAAAUAGUAGAAUAAUAUCCUCAAAGUUCUGGGAGAAAAUAACCGCUCAUCUAAACACAUAACAAGCUAAAUCGUCUUUUAAGAAUGAGAAUGAAGCAAAGACAUUUUUAGGAAAACAACAAAGAAAAUUUUCACCUUUCUCUCAACUAAAAACUUCUAAAGGUUAUACUUCAAAAAGAGAGACUAUGAGAUAUGCAGGGAGGGGUGGUUUCAGAAAUAUUUGAAUUUUUAAAUUUAUUUGUCCAUCUUUUCCAACAUAUUUAUGCAUAUAUGAAUUAAUACAGUAUUUGCCUUUCUUGUUUCACAAUUAGCAGCGUACUAUAUAUACUCAUCGUCACCUUGUUUGGUUGCUGUUGCUUAUUAACAUUACAGCCUGGCAAUAUUUUCAUAGCAGUAUAAAAAUUGAAUUCACAAAAGAAGAAGGAAAAAAAAGCCAGGUAUGAUGGCACAUGCUGUGAUCCCAGCAUUUUGGGAGGCCAAGGCGGGAGGAUUGCUUGAGCUCAGGAAAUUGAGACCAGCCUGGGCAACAUGGUGAAAUCCUGUCUCCACACACAUAUACAAAAUUAGCCCGGCAUGGUGGCAUGCACCUGUAGUCCCAGCUACUUGGGAGGUUGAGGUGAAAGGAUUGCUCAAGGCCAGGAGGGCAAGGCUGCUGAGAGCUGUGAUUCUGCCACUGCACUCCAGCCUGGCUGACACAGUGAGACACUGUCUCACAAAAAAAAAAAAAAAAAAAAAAAGAAAAGAAAAGAAAAAGAGAAAACUCUGUAUGCCAGUUAGUUUUCUCAUCCAUAAAAUGGGGAAAUGGGGAUGCCAGUCACUGUCCUGUCUUUUGGGGUAGCUCUAUUGAAGGGAUCAUAUGAAAAUGUGUUCGGAAGCAUUUGUCCCAAUAGAUGAUGUCCCAAAUGUGUAGAAUCAUCGCUUUGGAUUUACUAUCAUUUGUUUGCAGGACUGCUUCUGCCCCUGGCCUCAAAAUUGCUAAAAGGCAUCAAGUGAGUUAUUCAGCAAAGAGCUUAUGACAGAACAUGGUGUUCAAAUGAAGUCCUUGCCCUUGGAAUAUUAACCUCGGGAGGCUGGGGUGAGCUAGGAAGUUCAGAGCCUUCCCCUCGGUCUUUGGCAGCCUGCUCAGCUGUGUGUGUUUUUCCAGCUCGAGGAGAGACAAGCCUCAUCUCCACACUCCAGAUGUUCCCAGCCCUGCAGAGCCGUCAUCACCUAAGCCAGCUGUCGGGCACUGACUCUCUGGGCUACAUUCUCCCGUGGGUUCUCUUUAACCCGCUUGGUUUCACCGCAGGGGAAUGCUGAAGAGACACAAGUGUUUUUGUUUUCUCUCUUAAAAAAUACAGAAACUGUAAUCUGUUUUACAUCUGGGUCUGACUGCAGACAAGCAAGAGCGGGCGGAAUGGAGUGAUGGGCAAUCCAGCUGCAAGAAGAGGUGCAUACCCCUCUGUAGACAGCACAUCUGUGCAGGUGUCUAACAGCCGCCUCAUGGAAGGAGUCAUGGAAGACGUUAGGCCCCUCCAGUUGGGGUAAGGGGAUGGGUUGCUUUUCUUUUUCAGUGAUGCUGGAACCUUUUCUCUUGGAGCAUAUCUGGUUCUGUCUAGGUUCUCUGGAAACAGAAGAAACAGCCGGAUGUUUGAGGGAAAAUGUCUAAUGUGCUUAACAUCUUUAUAAAGCCGGUUCACAUUUAGAGAAAUGAUUUAUCUGAAUUGAUUCUCCCAAACCAGCUCUAUUCUCCCUGUGCAAAGGGGCUUUCUUGAAACUCCCAAAUGUUUAUAGGAUGGAUGAAACAAACUUGAGGUCCUAAAGUGCAGCUGCUAUUUAAAUAUAAGCGUCUAGGGCCCAGGCAGCUGAUUAUUGAUGGGUGUUGAGUGCCACAUUGCAAAGAUCAAGCAACUGAUGCAAGCUUUGGACCAAAUGAAACAUUUCAAGAACUCAGAUUGUAAAAUCACAAUCAGCUGGAGGAAUUCGGAUCUGCAUCUGGCCCAGAAGAACAUUUUUGAGGAUCUUUUGAAAGUAUCACUAAGAGCAAGGCUGGUGAAUUGAAUUACUGCCAUUAUUCCCCAAGGAAAGAAGGAUUCAUUUCAUUCCUAACUGCAAGGCAUUCAGCAGGUUAACUGGCAAGUGGAAAAGAGCCUAACCAAAUUAUCCCUUGGGACCAUCAAAACAUUUAAUAAACCAAGACACAAAUGCCUCCCAAAAAUUCCAUCUGCAAGAAACAUUUUCUGCAUCAAGAAGCACAAAGGAGAUAAGUGUUCUAUUCAUCCACGCAGGCAACGCUGUCACCCAGGAAGUGUUGCUCAGGGGGCCUUACUCCACAGCUGGCCUCCGAUGUGUAGGCAGGCCUGGAACAGAAUCAAUUGCAAAAAAAAAAAAAAAAAAACAGAAAAAAAAAAGAAAAAAAACAGCAUCGUCUGUGGGAUUCUCCCUCAAUGUCUGUUCCGUGAAAGAUGCAUUUUGUCCUCUGGAGCCUGGUGUUGGAAAUAAACUUGGCUGCACAGGUAAACUCUUAAGAGGCUGGCUAAUGCCAGGUGAUACUCUCAGCUUGUGAAAUCUCAGCCUUUUACUUGGUCAUAUUUUCAAAAGAGAAGACAGCUAAUGGGAGUAAGUUCCUUACAUUAAAAACAUACUUCCAGUUAACAGCACCAAACCACUUAAGUUGGAAGCAGACCAAUUAUUAAUUAGAUGAAUGGCCUUUUAUAAAUCCCUCUGCAGGCUCAGGACAACUGAUGGGUUUAUGGUCCAUGCAUUAGAGAACAUGGUUCCUCCAUGGUUAUAAUUAUCUAUAGUUGCUGGCAAUUGGGGGUUAUUGCACCAAAAUCAGAUGCCCCAUGAACAUGCUGGCCUGAGCUACCAUGGGGUGAUGGGGAGAAAGCUGAAAUAGCAGAGGAUGGUUUAUUCUGUUGUCCUUCUUAAGCUGUUUGAUCUUGGGACAAUUCCUAGAGGUUUUUUUCUUGGUUUCCUCAUCUGAAUGUGAAUGUAAUUGAUAUCUCUAGUUUUUCUCUGCCCGGCAUCCAUUCCCCCUUUCUUUUGAUAGCAAUCUCUUGGUUUCCAUGGAGAAACCAUCCCUUCUCCACUCCCAGUGCAUUUGGUUUGGGGGAACUGGCUGCACUCUUAGCUCUAGGGAUGGGCAUGUGGCCCAAGCCUGGCCAAUCAGAACACUGCAUCCUUCUAAUCCCAGCGAUUGGUUCAGAUCUAAUCAGAAACAAAGAAAGUCAAUUUCCUGGCACCACAUAAACAACCAUUGUUCACGGAGACCAGAUCUGACAUGUUUUGACUCCGGCGCUCAGCUUCGUUCAAGUCUGUGAAUGUUUGCCCUGAAACAAUUUGCUUAAAGUGAUAGUUACGUCUAAUGAAAAGAUACAUAACGGAAAAUGUCAGCAACCUUUUAAAUCCUCCACGACUUAUCAUGAGAACUGUCUUGUGCAAAGUGCCCA